UUCCGUAGGGUGACCUGCGGAGGGAUCAUUACCGAGUGUAAAAACUCCCAAACCAUUGUGAACCUACCACUGUUGCUUCGGCGGCCUCGCCCCGGGCGCGUUCGCGCGGCCCGGACCCAGGCGUCCGCCGGAGGCUCCAAACUCUUGUCUUUUAGUGUAUUUCUGAGUGGCAUAAGCAAAUAAAUCAAAACUUUCAGCAACGGAUCUCUUGGUUCUGGCAUCGAUGAAGAACGCAGCAAAAUGCGAUAAGUAAUGUGAAUUGCAGAAUUCAGUGAAUCAUCGAAUCUUUGAACGCACAUUGCGCCCGCCAGUAUUCUGGCGGGCAUGCCUGUCUGAGCGUCAUUUCAACCCUCAGGACCCGUUCGCGGGACCUGGCGUUGGGGAUCAGCCUGCCCCUGGCGGCGGCUGGCCCUGAAAUCCAGUGGCGGUUCCCUCGCGAACUCCUCCGUGCAGUAAUUAAACCUCUCGCGGCAGGAUAGCGGUUGAACCACGCCGUUAAACCCCCCACUUCUCAAGGUUGACCUCAGAUCAGGUAGGAAUACCCGCUGAACUUAAGCAUAUCAAUAAGCGGAAGAA
rnacentral:rRNA from 1 species